UGAAGCUGCGGAGUGAAAGCACCCUCUGCCCUCCCUACUUAAACCUGGCCGUUACAUCGGCAGCAAUAUGAGCCUUAGGUCUCUAGAAGGGCAGCCAGGAAGGAAAAUAGCGUUACCCACUGUACUGAGUGCCGUGUCCAGGUUUGGGCAGCUUGGGGGCUGCAGGGGUGGCGUCCGUGAGGAAAGGCUGGGGCUGCCCCGUGCCAGACAAAGAUGGGCCGAGCCAGCUCCAGUGGACCCACCGCAGGGCACGGCUGAGCCCAUCAGCCAAGAUGGCUGUGCCUCAGGGCAAAGAUAUUUGAGAAAGGGUAAAAACCACCACAUGACAGUGUGAGGAGUGAGUGAAACAAUGCCGCAGAUACCAAGGUCAGAGAAAAAGGAAGGGAGGAGGCGCCAGGGCAGAGAUUCCCCUGCAACCCAUGAGAAAGACUCUGGUGGAGCAGGCAUUUCCCGUGGAGGACCCCAGGCUGGAGCAGGUGGAGAUGUCCAGAAGGAAACUGCUGCCUGUGGACAGCCCACGCUGGAGCAAUCUUACCCUGAAGGACUGCAGCCCAUGGGACAGAACGACGCUGGAGAAAGGAAAGAGCAUGAGGAAGGACAGAGCUUCAUCUAUCUGCCAUGCAACUGGAUACGUCCAUCACUGCCAAGAGCAGCCUCUGUUUACUUUCUUGAGACCCCUGCACCACUUUUUUCUGAUUGAUGGUAUAGCCAGGAGCUUUCUCAUACUGCUGAAAGAGGGGAGGUGGGAAAUGCAAUCACCAAGCUGAAAGUCAGAGCAAAUACUGCAACAAGGAAGAGCCACUCCUACUGAGAUCUUGAACAUCCCUUAAAUUCUCUAGCAAUAGGUAGGGAAGGAGGAAGUCAUCUGCUCCUUCAUGCUGUUGCCAGUGAUAUCUCUACCUCAAAGUUGCUCCUCAAUGGAAAAAGUGAGCACAUUUUGUCUCUUACAUGCUUAAAGGAGGAAAACACGAACGAGUACUCAACACUUCACCUAGCUGAAAAGCUGCAGACAUACACUACUUUUCAAAAAGCUGGAAACAUCUUGCAGACAAUAAACAAACUUUCUUGUUAUAAUAAAGAAGCAAACAACA